rnacentral:rRNA from 2 species
AAGUCGAACGAGAUGAGAAGAAGCUUGCUUCUUUGAAUCUAGUGGCGAACGGGUGAGUAACACGUAGGUAACCUGCCCAUGUGCCCGGGAUAACUUCUGGAAACGGAUGCUAAAACCGGAUAGGUAGCAGACAAGCAUUUGACUGCUAUUAAAGUGGCCUUGGCCAUGAACAUGGAUGGACCUGCGGUGCAUUAGCUGGUUGGUGAGGUAACGGCCCACCAAGGCGACGAUGCAUAGCCGGCCUGAGAGGGCGGACGGCCACAUUGGGACUGAGACACGGCCCAAACUCCUACGGGAGGCAGCAGUAGGGAAUUUUCGUCAAUGGGGGGAACCCUGAACGAGCGAUGCCGCGUGAGUGAGGAAGGUCUUCGGAUCGUAAAGCUCUGUUGUAAGAGAAAAACGGCACUCAUAGGGAAUGAUGAGUGAGUGAUGGUAUCUUACCAGAAAGUCACGGCUAACUACGUGCCAGCAGCCGCGGUAAUACGUAGGUGGCGAGCGUUAUCCGGAAUGAUUGGGCGUAAAGGGUGCGUAGGUGGCAGAUCAAGUCUGGAGUAAAAGGUAUGGGCUCAACCCGUACUGGCUCUGGAAACUGAUCAGCUAGAGAACAGAAGAGGACGGCGGAACUCCAUGUGUAGCGGUAAAACGCGUAGAUAUAUGGAAGAACACCGGUGGCGAAGGCGGCCGUCUGGUCUGGAUUCUGACACUGAAGCACGAAAGCGUGGGGAGCAAAUAGGAUUAGAUACCCUAGUAGUCCACGCCGUAAACGAUGAGAACUAGGUGUUGGGGGAAUAACUCAGUGCCGCAGUUAACGCAGUAAGUUCUCCGCCUGGGGAGUAUGCACGCAAGUGUGCAACUCAAAUGAAUUGACGGA